rnacentral:rRNA from 1 species
GUGAGGAAUUUUCCGCAAUGGGCGAAAGCCUGACGGAGCAAUGCCGCGUGAAGGAUGAAGGCCUAUGGGUUGUAAACUUCUUUUCUCAGAAAAGAAUUAUGACGGUAUCUGAGGAAUAAGCAUCGGCUAACUCUGUGCCAGCAGCCGCGGUAAGACAGAGGAUGCAAGCGUUAUCCGGAAUGAUUGGGCGUAAAGCGUCUGUAGGUUGUUUAAAAAGUAUUCUGUCAAAGAUUAGGGCUUAACCCUAGAUAGGCAGAAUAAACUUUUAAGCUAUAGUGUGGUAGAGGCAGAGGGAAUUCCCGGUGGAGCGGUGAAAUGCGUAGAUAUCGGGAGGAACACCAAAGGCGAAGGCACUCUGCUGGGCCAAUACUAACACUGAGAGACGAAAGCGAGGGGAGCAAAUGGGAUUAGAUACCCGAGUAGUCC